GAUGAACCCUUCAUGGAGGCUUAACACAUGCAAGUCGAGGGGCAGCAUGGUCUUUGCUUGCUAAGGCCGAUGGCGACCGGCGCACGGGUGAGUAACACGUAUCCAACCUGCCGUCUACUCUUGGACAGCCUUCUGAAAGGAAGAUUAAUACAAGAUGGCAUCAUGAGUCCGCAUGUUCACAUGAUUAAAGGUAUUCCGGUAGACGAUGGGGAUGCGUUCCAUUAGAUAGUAGGCGGGGUAACGGCCCACCUAGUCUUCGAUGGAUAGGGGUUCUGAGAGGAAGGUCCCCCACAUUGGAACUGAGACACGGUCCAAACUCCUACGGGAGGCAGCAGUGAGGAAUAUUGGUCAAUGGGCGAGAGCCUGAACCAGCCAAGUAGCGUGAAGGAUGACUGCCCUAUGGGUUGUAAACUUCUUUUAUAAAGGAAUAAAGUCGGGUAUGGAUACCCGUUUGCAUGUACUUUAUGAAUAAGGAUCGGCUAACUCCGUGCCAGCAGCCGCGGUAAUACGGAGGAUCCGAGCGUUAUCCGGAUUUAUUGGGUUUAAAGGGAGCGUAGAUGGAUGUUUAAGUCAGUUGUGAAAGUUUGCGGCUCAACCGUAAAAUUGCAGUUGAUACUGGAUAUCUUGAGUGCAGUUGAGGCAGGCGGAAUUCGUGGUGUAGCGGUGAAAUGCUUAGAUAUCACGAAGAACUCCGAUUGCGAAGGCAGCCUGCUAAGCUGCAACUGACAUUGAGGCUCGAAAGUGUGGGUAUCAAACAGGAUUAGAUACCCUGGUAGUCCACACGGUAAACGAUGAAUACUCGCUGUUUGCGAUAUACAGCAAGCGGCCAAGCGAAAGCGUUAAGUAUUCCACCUGGGGAGUACGCCGGCAACGGUGAAACUCAAAGGAAUUGACGGGGGCCCGCACAAGCGGAGGAACAUGUGGUUUAAUUCGAUGAUACGCGAGGAACCUUACCCGGGCUUAAAUUGCAGAUGAAUUACGGUGAAAGCCGUAAGCCGCAAGGCAUCUGUGAAGGUGCUGCAUGGUUGUCGUCAGCUCGUGCCGUGAGGUGUCGGCUUAAGUGCCAUAACGAGCGCAACCCUUGUUGUCAGUUACUAACAGGUUCCGCUGAGGACUCUGACAAGACUGCCAUCGUAAGAUGUGAGGAAGGUGGGGAUGACGUCAAAUCAGCACGGCCCUUACGUCCGGGGCUACACACGUGUUACAAUGGGGGGUACAGAGGGCCGCUACCACGCGAGUGGAUGCCAAUCCCCAAAACCUCUCUCAGUUCGGACUGGAGUCUGCAACCCGACUCCACGAAGCUGGAUUCGCUAGUAAUCGCGCAUCAGCCACGGCGCGGUGAAUACGUUCCCGGGCCUUGUACACACCGCCCGUCAAGCCAUGGGAGCCGGGGGUACCUGAAGUGCGUAACCGCGAGGAGCGCCCUAGGGUAAAACUGGUGACUGGGGCUAAGA
rnacentral:rRNA from 1 species